rnacentral:lncRNA from 1 species
AUACAUUUGAAUAUUUUGGUAUAUCUAUCGGUACAAACAUGUAGUUACAUUGAUUUAAUAUAAUGCAUUUCGUUACGUACACUUUGAUACACACAUUUGAGUAUUGACUUUUAGGUACAUUAAUUCAAUUAUUAUUUCGGUAAAUAUAUUUAGGUACAUACAUUUUGGUAUUGAUAUUUAGGUACAUACAUUUUCGGUAUUGACAUUUAGGUUCGUACAUUUUGGUACAUACAUUUCGGUAUUGACAUUUAGGUACAUUAAUUCAAUAUAAUACAUUUCAGUACAUACAUUUAGGUUCAUUGUAAUAUAUUUCGGUACAAUCAUGUAGGUACAAAUAUUUUGGUACAAAAAAAGUCAAUUUUAUAUAUUUUGGCACAAUCAUUUCUGUACACUUGUGUAUCUAUAUAUUUUUGUAUCACAAAUUUUUUUUAAUAUUUUCUCAUUUACGUUCAUUUCUAAUUAAAAAAAAUUAAAUAUGUACAUAUUAAUGAAAUUAAAAUUUAAUAUGGAGAGAUUAAAUAAAAAUACACAUUAAAUAAGAAUAAUUGAAUGUAAAUUUUGAUAAAAGUACACUCAAAGGAUUAAAUUGAAUAUUUAAUCUAGCAUCAGGUUUUUUUUUUAAAUUUUAAUCUUUUGCAAGGACUAAUGUUCAAAAACCCUUUUUUUUUUGUACAAACGAGUCAUUGUAGAAAUCUGGUACAUGUGCAAUCAAAUUAAUAUUCCGCGAUUCAGAACAUAUGACAGAACUUAUUUGUCCACCACUUAUGAAUAUCACAUUUUUAAUAUAUAAACAUCACGGUUAAAUUUGUUCAUUUCUCUUUAUUAUCAUUUAAAGAUCAUCUUUGUAAAAAAUUAUUCAAUUUGGAGAUUGUUUAUUCAUCUUAUACAUCAUAUAUAGACGGUUCAUAAUGCAGAGCUACUUGUUACCAAAAUCGUUCGACACGCAUGGCUAAAUGGUCUCCAAAUUAAGUUGUAUUUUUUUACAUAGAUGAUAUUCAAAUAAUAGUAAAAAGAUAAUGAACAAUUC